CACUAAGAGCCACAGAAGGGGAAGAUGAACUGCUCUUACUUCAAUGCUUUAUUCUUUAAUUUAUGCAGAUGGCCCUGCAAUAGAAACUUUUAAAGAGUGAGACAUGAAAGAAGACUCGAGAUGGGCAGAUCUGUCAGUUGUGCUUUCUCCCACAUUGACGCCUCUCCAAAUGAAAAGAUGGCAACACUCAAGGAUGAAUACAUAUUCGACCCCCACUUUUAAGAGGAUUGUCUAUGUAAAGCACUACAAGAAUUUUUGCUUUGCUCUGAAAAAAAUAUAUACGGGCCUGCUCCCUUCUAGCUGUUCAUAAAGACACAGUGGAUGCAUUGAAUGGGAUUUGUUUUUGUAGAAGAGAUGGAAGGAGUGAGUGAGGAGAGAGGGACAAACAGGCAAAUUGCCUGAAGCAGGCUGUUGGACAGGUAAGUCGGAGACCAAAACUGAUGAGGCAGAA
rnacentral:lncRNA from 1 species